rnacentral:piRNA from 1 species
UACUUAAUGCAGCAGCCCUCUUCAU